rnacentral:rRNA from 1 species
GACGAACGCUGGCGGCGUGCCUAAUACAUGCAAGUAGAACGCUGAAGGAGGAGCUUGCUUCUCUGGAUGAGUUGCGAACGGGUGAGUAACGCGUAGGUAACCUGCCUGGUAGCGGGGGAUAACUAUUGGAAACGAUAGCUAAUACCGCAUAAGAGUAGAUGUUGCAUGACAUUUGCUUAAAAGGUGCAAUUGCAUCACUACCAGAUGGACCUGCGUUGUAUUAGCUAGUUGGUGGGGUAACGGCUCACCAAGGCGACGAUACAUAGCCGACCUGAGAGGGUGAUCGGCCACACUGGGGCUGAGACACGGCCCAGACUCCUACGGGAGGCAGCAGUAGGGAAUCUUCGGCAAUGGACGGAAGUCUGACCGAGCAACGCCGCGUGAGUGAAGAAGGUUGUCGGAUCGUAAAGCUCUGUUGUAAGAGAAGAACGAGUGUGAGAGUGGAAAGUUCACACUGUGACGGUAUCUUACCAGAAAGGGACGGCUAACUACGUG